rnacentral:lncRNA from 1 species
AUGGAAAAUGAUAGUUCAUCUUGCUUCGUGGUUAUAUUCUCAAAAUAUUAAUAAUGAUGAUGCAGUUGGGAAAUUUUGGAGAUUAAUUGUUUUGGUAGCUGGCAAUGAAUUGACUUCGAAAGUUAUCCCUUCUUAGUGUUCUCAACUAUAGGAAAAUAUUUAAUUAGUCUCCGUCUUAGUGCUCUCCCACUAGCUAGUAAUUAUUCCCUCAUACAAGUUUUGUAUAGCCUGAAUAUAAAUUAUUUCUAGCUAUUAACUUUCUUUUCCAAAGUCCACAACAACCCUUCUCUUGGAACUCAAACACAAAAGCCAUAUGAGUAAGUCUUUUUCUUUGCUUCGAUGCAUUCUAUCAACCUCUAGUUUAAAAAGAGAGAAUUUUUUUAAAAAAAUUGAUAGCGCUUUGGAAGUGCUAUGUAUGCAUAUGAUAUCUAUUUAAAGAUAGUCCUUGUGAAGAACUACCUAACAAUCUUCCGCUCUGGAUUAUUGGUUUCAAUAGCUUAAUUAUUAUAAUUUAAUGAUAAAAUAAUUUUAUAAAUUUAACGAUAGAAUUAAUUUAUCUCAC